UUGUUUGUUGCGUCUUGUACUUUAGGUAUUUUUCUCGAAUGUCGAUUUGUUUGCUCCUGUUGAAUUCCUUGUUGAAUACAUAUACGUGUGGUUCUGUGUUUUGUUUGUCGCCUUGCUCUUGUGAAUAGCCAUUUGUUUGCUCGAUAAUCAACGCUUUUCUUGGCACUUUCAGGGUUUUUAGGGUUUCGUAAUGGUGGUUAUUGUAUUAGAUAUUUUGAUUGUGAUAAUGAUGAUAUUAAUUGAACCUUUUGUGGAAAGAAGGUAACUUUCAUUCCAAAAGUUGAUAAUCUGUUGUUUGGGGGGCGGGGGCUUCCACUUGAGUGCAUUUUGGAUUGAUUGGAGUGGAGAAUGCAAAGGGGUUUUUCUCUGUUUAGUAUUGUUAGGUUUACGCACAUGAUUCAAUUGCAUAAUUUGUAUGGUGAGUUGGUGAUUGUGCUGGGCGACUGUUAUUGACCCAUUGUGUUUGUGGCUGCUAGUACGCAAUGCCAGUUGCCUCCCAAACAGAGGCGGGCUUUUAGUCAUUUUUUGGGUAUCUAGCCCUCUCAAGGCGGAUAUUGCCCUAAUGGGUUUGUGGUUUUGGUGCUACUACAUACUCCCAUUGUUUUGCCUGUGUGGUGAUGCCUGCCAUUUAAGGAUUUACGUGAAGAAAAGACAAAUAAUUGUUUGUUGAAUAUGUUUUAAUUAUAAAGUUUUGUUUAUGUAGUUUUCUGUUAUCGAAUAUGUAAUCCGUAAGUAAAAGAAAGCAAACAAGCUGAUCCCACAUUAUCCUCAAAAUCACUGAGAAGAACUAUCUGAAUCUGAAGUCAAGGAGAGAUCACUAUUCGAUUGAAUGAUCCCAGCUAAUAAGGAUGACUACUCAGGACAUUUCAGAAAAAUCAGUGCUGCGUAUCAUGCAGAGGGAGCAAGAGAGAGAAAGACGCCGGAUCAGGGACAGACAAAGAAGACAAUCUAUGAGUCUUGAAGAGAGAGAAAAACAUCUUGCCAGACGUCGCAGAAACUAUCAAUUGCGAAGACAAAAGGCUGAUAAUUCUCAAUCGGAUUCUCAAUGCAAACAAACAAGUGCUAGGACUGGUGGAGAUCAAAACACAAGGAAUGAAUAUCAAGCUGCAACUACUGCAUCUGAACUUUGUGUGCAAAGUGAGGUUAUCACUCAUAUUGGAUUAAAUCAAGGGCAAGACAAACUGGAUGUGUCAAGCAUAAAGUUUGAGGAUAUGGAAGCUGGAGGUCACAAAUUAGCUAAAUUCCCAAGAAGACUACGGUUAAGUCAUGUAAGGCAUCUUGCACGAUCAAUAAACAAUCCCAUGGACGAGCUAACUGGUGACAAUCGUCCGAUAGGGGCAGAUGCGGUAACAAAGAAAAAUGCAAGCACCAAGUUUGGAGGUACUGAUCCAGGUUCACCAAAAAGAUUGCGCUUAAAUCAUGUUAAACGUCUUGCAAGGGCAGUACAUUCUACAGUGAAGGAGAGUGCUAGUCACAAAAGCAAAGAGUGAAAAAGAAGGAUGAACCAACCUCUCGUGCUAAUGUAAAAAAAGACAGCCUUUUAGGGCUUACACAUCAUGAAUGACAUUCUUCAUAUCUUAUUCCAAUAAAUGUUGGGUUCAAGAUGUAGGAUGGAGAAAGCUACGGUUACUAGCAAAGGGGACGAGGCUGAUGAAGAUAAAAACAAUAGUUGAGACUCGAUUACAUUUAGGACUUCACAUGAUACUGGACAAAUCUAAACUGAAAGUGUCCCCCAAGAUGCGAUGUGUUUGAUAUUGGUUUUGCUGGAACCUGCAUGCAUUGUUAAUUCAAAUUUUAAAUUGAUACAGAGGGACUCCCAACUGACAGUUGGGAUGAAUACUUGGAAGAUGUUGAUUGAUAGAGAGUGUGAAUUUUUACUGAUUUGUUGA